UAUUGGAUUUCCUAUUUUAUUUGUAUUGGAUAUUAAUUUUUGUCCAGCAACCUUGCUGAUCUUAAUAACCCUAAUAACAUGCCUGCAGAAUCUCUUGGAUUUUCUCUGUAAAUAAUCAUACCAUCUGCGAAAAAUGUCAGAGAUUUUGUUUCUUUUAUUUUCCUAAUCCUUCUAUCACUGAGCGGUAGCUUCUAAAUCCAACUUCUCCCAGCUCUCAGGCAGUGCCAGUGGGCUGGCCCUGGGCAGCUAUAGUCUUGCCCCUUCAGCUAUAAAUAAAUAAAAGACCCCUUACUUUCUCCAGAGCUUUACAGUUUACAAAGCACUUUCGCUUUCAUUAUCUCAUUGAUCCUGAUUACUCCCCACGUUACAGAGAGGGAGCAUCUUGGCUCCCAGUCCGGAGACUUGGUUGGGCCCCGAAUACUGGGCUGUGAGACCUCUGACAGUCCCUCCCCUUCUCUGUUUCGCCUGUAAGCUAAAAAGUUUGGCCAGGGCUGGGUCUCUGGUAUUCUCAGAUCCAUGACUGAUGAUUGCUCUGGGCGGUCACAAGGCUCAAGGAAGCUCUUUGAAGACCAACGAUAAAAAUAAUAAAAGGGGGUGGAGGAUUCUGGUACACUUAGAUCCUCAGCACCUCCACUGGCGCCCCCAAACAUCUAGGGGAGUGGGGAAAUAUGGACGUGCCCUUGCAAGUCGGAGGGUUGAUACAAAUGAUGGGGACCGUGGGGAAGAGGGCAUUGUGUCCAGCCCCCGCCCCCCCCCCCCUGCAGGCGCAUUCUCCUCCCCGCUUGAAAGAACAUCCUCUGGUCCCGGAAGGGGAGGACGAGGUGCAGAUGAAGAAAAUAUGGGCCUCAGAAAUCAGGAGGCUCAUAUAGACAGAAGUGGAAGGAACGAGUUGGGGAGAUGAUGCAUUCAUUCAUUCAAUCAUUCAUUCAUUCAGCAAAUAUUCACUGAAAUGGGGACAGCCAGAGACAAAGGACCAGAGGAAUUAAAUGGAGACACUGAUAGGGGGAGAUCCGGCAGAAAUAUCCUCAUAUUUCGACGAGUGUGGAGAUGCAGAGGCCUGAGCCACCUAUCCCCCCAGAGGGAUGCUUCAGCUGGUGAGAGCCACAUGGGGAGCUCAAGAAGGGACUGGACUACUCGAGGGCCAGAAGGGACACUAGUCACAAUGGACUGAAGCAAUCGAAUAUGUUUAAAGCCAUCAAUUCUUAAUUAUGCUACUGUUUUUAAAAAACUAACUGGCCCAAGUUUGAAAGGGGCUAGAGAAUCAACUCAUUAUUUCAAAAUUCACAAAUGCAGGAACAGAAUUGAGUAUUUAUCCCAUCUUUGCUAUAUGAGCCACCACACUCAGUAACCAAAUAGUAAAUGAGGGGCAGUUUCUGUGUCGAGAAUUAUUCCAGCUAAUAAAGGAAGGAGUGAUUGAAUGUGGUAUCACCAUUGGGGGCGGGGAGGGAGGGAGACUGGUGGAUGAGGCAUGAAGCAUCCAUGGUUGCUAUGCUUCUGGAUGGAAGAAGCAGUACCACCAUCUGUGAAGUGGUCUUGCCAAAGAAAAUAGAACCUACACCUGAUCAGGACUUUCAAUCCAACUACCAUUUACAGGAAAUAACAAUGUACAGGAAAUACAAUUUACAGGAAGUACAGAGGGUCAGAGAGACUUGUUAAAGAACACACUAGACAUGCAAUCAGCGAAACCCAGACUGGAAGAUUGCACACCAAAUAGCCUGGUUCUCUCAAGGAAAGAGACAGAGAGAAAGAGAGAAAGAGAGAGGUUUUAAUGGGGAAUCUAUGGAUUUAAAGAGAUUUAAAGGAGACAUAUCCAUCAGUUGUAGGGUGUGCACCUUAUUUGGAUCCGGAUUCAAACAAAUAUAUUGUAAAAAACAAAAAACAAAAAACCAAACACAUUUAUAAGAAAUUGGAAUUCUGAACACUAUAGGUCUGAUAUUAAGGAAUUAUUAACUUUAAGGUCUGCUAAUGUACUAGUUGUAAUAAUUGUGAUUGUUUAAAAAUGAGUCAUUCUAUUAAAAAAUAGUAAAUUAGA